GUCUCGCAGAAAUCACGCCGCUCGCUGCUCUCACGCGCUCUCCUCCUCCCAGACUCUCGUGCCGCCCAAAUCGAUCCCCCUCCCCUCGCCACUGCCACCUCCUCCUCCAUCCCGCAAGCGCCGCCCCACUCCCCGCCGCGGCACCCGUGAUGCUGCCUCGCCCCUAACUCUAAUCGUCGAAGCCGAAGACCAUCGAGCCAGCGACGAUCUCCUCCGCGGCCACCACCGACCGGCUCCGCCGCCCGCGUCGCGCCUCUCUCCACCACGCCCUAAUCCUCUCCUUCUCACGCGACGCCGCCGGUGCCCCUCCCUGCCGACGCUCCUCCUCCUCCCCCCCCCUCCAAAUCAACGCCGCCGACGAUCGGCGCCGCUGGAACACCAUCGCCGUCUCGCCGACUACCGAGCUGAAGACAGCCAGGCCAGCGCCAACUUCAUCGCCUCCACACAUGCCGAAGCUCAUCCAUACCCCUGCCGCCGCCGAUCUACGAAGGUCUCUUCGUUGGGGGGACUCGUCGCCACCUCGUCCGACAUCCCCUUAACAAUGAUCUGGGCCACCCAGGUCCGGCAUUGAUUUAGUGCUGGAGAAGUACGGCAAGCCACAUUCAUUCUACCUAUGAAUGAGGAAAUUUCAUCAGCAUUGUUUUGUAUCCUUUGCAUCAAGUGUCAGUGAUGAGUUAAAUCACUCGAAGUUUGAAGUUUGAAGUUUGAGGCUUCAGUAAGGAAAGGGGCAGCAUAUAUAAAAGAUGGGCAUUAUUACAGAGUGUUUGUGCUGCUACAAUAUUGUGAAAUACAGGGAGACUGAAAUCUUGGAGAUAAAUUACUGAAGAACCAAACUCUAUUUACAAUGUACAGUGCACCUGGGAGGAUGACCGCGAAUGGAGUGACCUCGAUAUCCAAGGGCGGGGCUGUAAUGAGGUGGUACACCCGUGGACCAUGACGGUAUGGUGUGUGCGGCGGAUGCGGGCAAGGAGGGAAUCGCGUAGCUGGCGAAG